AUUGGUGUAAGAGAAUGAAAUUGUCAAAGAUAGAUUUAUUUUACAAACUGGUAGUCAUUUUCCAUUAUCAAUUGGUUGAAUUGUAACUGCAUGAUAUCAUAAAUGCUUUUUGAGAGGUAGGAUUCUCAGAUGUUGAAAUUUUCAGGUCUGCAACUUAGUUGCUUCUUAUAAAACUUUACCUCUGUUGUCUUCAUUGUAAUCUUUUUCCAAUUAUUUAUGAUUUGUGGUUCACUAGGUUAAACUUUAUUGAUCGGCAUCUGUUUGAUAGCUCAGAAAAUGAAAGAAAAAUUGCUAAAUACUAUAA
rnacentral:misc_RNA from 1 species